rnacentral:rRNA from 1 species
CAUUGCGAUUUAUAUCUUAUACACAUGCGUGAGCGCACCAAACACCUAAAAUUGUAAUACCACCAGUCAGUAAGUUUUAACAAAACAAAACUUUCAACAACGGAUCUCUUGGUUCUCGCAUCGAUGAAGAGCGCAGCGAAAUGCGAUACCUAGUGUGAAUUGCAGCCAUCGUGAAUCAUCGAGUUCUUGAACGCACAUUGCGCCCCAUGGUAUUCCAUGGGGCAUGCCUGUCUGAGCGUCGUUUCCUUCUUGCGCAAGCAGAGUUGAGAACAGGCUAUGCCUUUUUCGAAAUGGAACGUCGUGGACGAAGUGAACUAAACUUUUAGCACGCUUUGGCCGCCGAACUUUUAACUAAGCUCGACCUCAGAUCAGGUAGGAAUACCCGCUGAACUUAAGCAUAUCAAAAAAUCGGAGGAA